rnacentral:rRNA from 1 species
GUUUACGGCCAUGCCACCCUGAACAAGCCCGAUCCCGUCUGAUCUCGGAAGCUAAGCAGGGUCGGGCCUGGUAUUUAUUAAAU